CACGUAGGGCGCGAGCGUUGUCCGGAAUUAUUGGGCGUAAAGGGCUCGUAGGCGGUUUGUCGCGUCGAAAGUGAAAUUCCGGGGCUUAACUCCGGACUUGCUUUCGAUACGGGCAGGCUAGAGGUAGGCAGGGGAGAAUGGAAUUCCUGGUGUAGCGGUGGAAUGCGCAGAUAUCAGGAGGAACACCGGUGGCGAAGGCGGUUCUCUGGGCCUUACCUGACGCUGAGGAGCGAAAGUGUGGGGAGCGAAC
rnacentral:rRNA from 1 species